AUGGUUGUGAAGCUUGUUUUUAAUUUUUUUAAUGUUUAUUUUAUUUUUCAGGUGUUUGGAAUGCCAGAAGUGAUCAUUCCAGCUGUAUUUUCUUAUGAAAUAUCUAUAACUACACAAAUAGUGUGGCAGCAGAGGAAAAGGGGCUGCAUGGCUUACAGCUUCACUCUGUUUCUAGAGCUAUCUUGUUCCAACUUGCUCUCCUUGAGUGCCAACAACAGCUCAGUGAAUCAGGAGGAGCUUUAUCCUGGCUGUUCAUUCCCAGGGAAACCAAACAAACAAGAGGUUGAACAAUUUGAUUGUGCAUAUUUGAAGUGGAACUUUAAAAAAUUUCUCCAUAAGCUUCAAGUCAAAGAAAUAUUCAAGUUGAGGAACAAAAUUCCAUCAGUGCUGAGCUGCUAAUGCUGCCCAGCAUGAUGAUGACAGCAGCUCUGUUCUUUCCUGUGGUUGUCUUCCUCAAGUGCAACUAUCAGAAUACCUUCAAGAGGAGACAAGAGCAUUAGGUAAGUGUGUGCUUCAAGUGCAGCUAUCAGAAUACCUUCGAGAGGAGACAAGAGCAUUAGGUAAGUGUGUGCUUGCAGAGAAGUUUUGAAAGGCCAAAGUAGACAAGAUUUUAUUGAAUAAAUAAAUUGGAAUAUGUGUCUGUGGGAAGUUUUGAAGGGCCAAAGUAAACAAGAUUUUAUUGAAUAAAUAAAUUGGAAUAUGUGUCUGUGCCAAGUCAACUCUAAUCUGAUUUUUCUGUCUGAGAGAUGUCUUCAAUUUGAAUUACCAUGUGUCUGUGCCAAGUCAACUCUAAUCUGAUUUUUCUGUCUGAGAGAUGUCUUCAAUUUGAAUUACCUCUCUCUUGAUCUGGGAGAAGUGUUUUUUUUCCUUAAAAAUGCCCCUCAAUAUUUUCAUAAUCUGCCAUACUUGUACUGAGUAGAGAAGCCUGUGUAACAACUGAUUGCUUUGCUUAAAGUUCAUGCACUCUUCUGUUACCUCCAAGUAGCAAUCUAGUUGUAAAAAUGCUAAUGAAAUCCACUCAGAAUAGGGAAGAUGAGCUACUCGGUCUAAGAGAGAGAAGGGAAUCUUUUCUUACCUGUCCGUCUGUUUUUUCUGGUGGACAAACACAUCUUGGUAGACAAGCACAUAUCACUGUACUUUUCAGAGCACAGUGUGCCAGUUUUCCAUCUUUUUAGAUGUUCAUACCAUCCUGUUUGUGUCUCUGUGCUUUGAUUGCACUGUGUUAAAAAAUGUGGGUGUUGGUGUUUUGCUUAAACCCCUUGUAUUUCAAUCAGGUGCACCUAACCUUCCAUUUUGGAAAUAUUUUUUGUUUCCAUUUCUGUCAUAUUGUAGCUAAAAAGAAACCAGAGAAAGGAAGGGUUUUGAAUGCAGUGCUGAAGAAAGUCUACUGCUGCACUAGUACUGAUGGCUAUCCAGGGCAAACUAACAAACUUGUUAGAGCAAAACCUGACAUCCACCACAGAGGAAAGAGGGGGGAAAGGGAAAAAACAAAACUAAACAAACAAAACCAAAAUCAAACCAAACAAAAAAAUCCAAAGCGACCAGCCAAAAUACAACCAAAAAAGCCUAGGUAAGAUCACAACUCCAGAAACUUUUGAGAUUUUCAAACCCCAUACCUGAAACUGAGUUAUGAUUUGAGAAAUGUUUUUUUCCAAAGUAGCAGAAAAGCCCAUGCUUCUUGUUUCCUGAGGAUUAUUUAUGAAAUUAGCUUAAUUGAAACAAUCGUGUUAAAAAUCCCAGAAUCCAGGUCUCCAAAUUGUUCUGAGGUUGCAGUCAAACUGCAUGAUCUCCUGCACCAGCAUUCCUGAAACUGAUUAAUGUUCUCAUGGUAAACUGAUGCCCUCCUAUGGGAUAAAAAGAUAUAAUUCAGUGAUAUGUAACAAUUAUAAUAUCAUAAGGGGAAAUAUAUCUAAGCAUUAGCUGUCUUGGUUCUACAGGGUUACUGGGGCAGGUGGGAAAUAAAUUUAUUUUCAGACGCAGAUUAAAAUUGCAAUCUACUCUAAUUGCAAUCUCGGUGAAAGCGGCACAUCUCUGAGUGCCCUAGCCUGGGCGUGUACACCUGGCAAGCGUUUCAAAGUUUUCAGUUGGUGUGAACAGUUCUGAAUUAGCCGCUGAGCUGGAAUUGUUCGGGUUUAGGUCGGAUUUUCAAGCGGGUCCGUUGCAAAUAAGAGUUAUCAAGCGUUUCCAGGCGUGCUGUACAGCCACGCUGUAGAUGAGCGAGGGAGGGACCCGCGGAGCCCCAGGGUUUGCUGUUUUCCGCUUGGCCAGGACGAGUAGAUGGUGCUGAGCCCGGGCUGGGAGCAGCCGCGGGCGGGCUCAGCUGGGCUUUGCGGAGCGUCUGGGCUUGAGAUGCAGCGCCACCCAGAGGGCGAGAGGCGGGGAGCGGGGCCGGGCUCGGUGUGGCUCCCCCUCGGCAUCCUCCUGCACGGCCGGGAGGGAGCGAGGGCUCCGCGCACCGCCCGGGCUGGGCGAGGCCGCUGCGCGCUCCCCGGGCCGUGCCCGCUCCCGGACCGGACCGUGCCCGCUCCCG
ensembl:lncRNA